AUUGAACGCUGGCGGCAGGCUUAACACAUGCAAGUCGAACGAGUGGCGGACGGGUGAGUAAUACUUGGGAAUCUAGCUCAUGGAGGGGGAUAACUACGGGAAACAGUAGCUAAUACCGCGUACCAUAGGAUGAGCCCAUGUCGGAUUAGGUAGUUGGUGAGGUAAAGGCUCACAAAGCCGACGAUCUGUAGCUGGUCUGAGAGGAGGACCAGCAACACUGGGAAUGAGAAACGGCCGAGACUCCGACGCGAGGCAGAAGUGGGGAAUAUUGCGCAAUGGGGGCAACCUGACUCAGCCAUGCCGCGUGUAUGAUGAAGGCAUUCGGGUUGUAAAGUUCUUUCGGUAGAGAGGCGUUAUCUACAGAAUAAGCACCGGCUAACUACGUGCCAGCGGCCGCGGUAAUAC
rnacentral:rRNA from 1 species